GAUGAACGCUAGCGGCAGGCCUAAUACAUGCAAGUCGAACGGUAACAUUGGUGCUUGCACCAGAUGACGAGUGGCGCACGGGUGCGUAACGCGUAUGCAACCUACCUUUUACUAGAGUAUAGCCCAGAGAAAUUUGGAUUAAUCCUCUAUAAUAUCUUUUAAUUUCAUGAUUUUAAGAUUAAAGUUUUAACGGUAAAAGAUGGGCAUGCGUCCCAUUAGUUUGUAGGUGAGGUAACGGCUCACCUAGACUACGAUAGGUAGGGGCCCUGAGAGGGGGAUCCCCCACACUGGUACUGAGACACGGACCAGACUCCUACGGGAGGCAGCAGUAAGGAAUAUUGGACAAUGGACGAAAGUCUGAUCCAGCCAUGCCGCGUGCAGGAUGACAGCCCUACGGGUUGUAAACUGCUUUUAUACAGGAAGAAACACUCCGACGUGUCGGAGCUUGACGGUACUGUAAGAAUAAGGAUCGGCUAACUCCGUG
rnacentral:rRNA from 1 species